rnacentral:rRNA from 1 species
GCGCACCAGUCGAGAAUACUCCACAAUGCGCGAAAGCGCGAUGGGCUAUCCCGAGUGCCGUCCGCUGAGGAUGGCUUUUCUCCAGUGUAAGGAGCUGGAGGAAUAAGGAGAGGGCAAGUCUGGUGUCAGCCGCCGCGGUAAUACCAGCUCUCCGAGUGGUAGGGACGUUUAUUGGGCUUAAAGCGUCCGUAGCCGGCUCAACAAGUCCUCCGUUAAAUCCAGCGAUUCAAUCGUUGGACUGCGGGGGAUACUGUUGGGCUAGGGGACGGGAGAGGCCAACGGUAUUCCCGGAGUAGGGGUGAAAUCCUAUAAUUCCGGGAGGACCACCAGUGGCGAAGGCUGUCGGCUAGAACGAGCUCGACGGUGAGGGACGAAAGCUGGGGGAGCGAACGGAUUAGAUACCCCCGUAGU